CUGGUCAUGUGCAGUGGUAAGAUCUGACCAUGGCUGCCACCGCCUGAAUUACUCCGUGUUCAAGCAUGAACACACUGAAUUAGAGGUCUGCUGAGUAAUGUCAGUGAUUGUGGUCUCAAGAUCCAAUCAUCCAGUGAAAGCUUCAAGGUAAUUCAAUUCAAGGCCCUCUCAGCUGUGCUCUCUUCUGAAAGCUGUCUAUGGAAUCAACCAGUCAUGGAUAAAGGAACCUCUAAAGUCAGUCCUAACACGCCCAUACCAAUCAUCAGAAGGCUGGCAGAUAAAUACCUAAAACCCACACUGACUUCCAAAAACACAGUGAAUUUUUUACUUGGUAGGCAACUGGGGAGGCACAGAAAUGAUCUGGAUUUGUCCAAAUGGCUGUGGAUGCUGACACGAGCUGCACCAGGGUGGAGUUGGCCAUUGCCAAAAAGUCAUAUAACCUACCUGCUUAUGCCUGUCCAUAAUCUUGGAAAAUGCAAAAAAAAAAAGUAAAAUAACAAAAUCCUCCCUUGUUUCACUGGUUAAAAUAAAAGAUGCCUGUCAGUC